CAGGUUAAUUAUUAGUUAAAAACUUCUUUUACAUGGGAGUUUAUUGUUGUGCAAUUCAUCAUAGCUUGA
rnacentral:tRNA from 1 species